rnacentral:lncRNA from 1 species
UUGAGGGGCAUUUCGGGAACUCUAUAGAAGUCCGUUCAAAGUGGAAAAGGUGCCAUCUGGAAGCAUUUUUCGUUCUGAAUCCAACGAAUCUAGUUUCAUGGUAAUCCGAGUUCGUUUGAGGCAUGAACUUGGCGGUUUUAUCUGAUUGCGCAGAAUCCUGCGGGAAUGGGGGUUUUCCUAUCUUAUCUAGAAUUCAUCCUUAUCUUGUGCAUGGGAAGUUGAGUUCGUGAGGGACUUGUAACUGGAGGUUGCUCCUCUAUAAGAGGACCCUCAAAGGGGAGGGCUUGGGAUCCGGUAGAGCUGGAGAGGCCAAGAGAGCUUAUUGUAAUCAGUUGAGUGGUUAUUCAAUAAAGUUCUCUUCCCCUACAUUUCUUCUUCUCCUUCGUGGUAUUUUCUGGUGUUGUGUUUCGCUGCAUUAUUGUUGUUAGGCGUGACCUAAGUCAUAGAGACUAGGUACCCACGCCAGAAGGCUGAUCGGUUAUCUUCGAUAGACCGAGCCGCACGUUGUUGGGAUUCGCUUUGUAAUCCCUUCGUUCGUGUCACUUGGUAUCAGAGCCAUACCAGAAAUGAAGGAGACGACCUCUACGGUAACUUCCAUGGUGGGAA